UCCUACGGGAGGCAGCAGUGGGGAAUAUUGCACAAUGGGCGAAAGCCUGAUGCAGCGACGCCGCGUGAGGGAUGACGGCCUUCGGGUUGUAAACCUCUUUCAGUAGGGAAGAAGCGAAAGUGACGGUACCUGCAGAAGAAGCGCCGGCUAACUACGUGCCAGCAGCCGCGGUAAUACGUAGGGCGCAAGCGUUAUCCGGAAUUAUUGGGCGUAAAGAGCUCGUAGGCGGUUUGUCGCGUCUGCCGUGAAAGUCCGGGGCUCAACUCCGGAUCUGCGGUGGGUACGGGCAGACUAGAGUGAUGUAGGGGAGACUGGAAUUCCUGGUGUAGCGGUGAAAUGCGCAGAUAUCAGGAGGAACACCGAUGGCGAAGGCAGGUCUCUGGGCAUUAACUGACGCUGAGGAGCGAAAGCAUGGGGAGCGAACAGGAUUAGAUACCCUGGUAG
rnacentral:rRNA from 1 species